CGUACAGGAACUAACACCACUGGACCCACCUCUUUACGCAGUCUGAACUUUAUCGCCCGCCGACAUUGGCUGAGCGAAGGAGAAUAUCAGAAAAUACAGAGGAAAACCAACGUUGUACACGAUCGUCUUCACUUCACUUCAUUGCGGAAGGAGUGUGGAAGGAGUGUGGGUGUUAAAACGAGCUGAGGAGCUGUUGUCAGUGAAGCUGGACGCCGAGUUUACCUGCAGCACCAGGUGUCACCACUUGGCCCAUUACAUCGUCCUUCUUUGAGACCAGGACUGAGGACAGGUAAUUCACAAACAGCUUUACAUCAACCGUCCAACACAGAGUACUGACAUUUAACUGUUUAUUAGCGAUGGGUCCAGCAACACCGACGCGUCGGCGCCCGUAUCGCUUCAAGAAAGUCACGUUACCAAUACAGGAACUGUUUCGAACUGACACUGACGCGCAUCUGCCAAAAGAAUCUCUGAUGUUUUGCGGUUCGUUGUCAAAUUCAUCAAGAAUUAUGGAGCAGCCUCAGGCCAAAGGAAUGGUUUCUGCCGUGUUGGACCAUUUUGAUCUCAUAUGGGAAAAUAAGGUUAAAUGUCGCAUUUGUUCGACAAAACUUUCCUAUUUAAACAUAACCACCUCCUCAAUGCUGAGGCAUUAUAUGGCCAGGCAUGAGAAUGAAGUCCCAGAUACACCCAGGAUAAACCCAGCUUCCAGGAAGCAGAUGCUGGAUGAGGCUCUGCUGAAUUUCAUCCAGAAGGACUGCCAGCCCCUCAGCAUUGUGGAGAGUGUAGGGUUCAGGGAACUGGUUCAGGUCCUUCAGCCCUCAUAUGUUUUGCCAACCAGAAAGACCAUCAAACAAAUAGUUUGAGGAGGAACAGGAACGAGUGAAAACGGAAGUACAGCAAGCUGUGAUAAUAACCUUAGGCAACAUCUCGACAUCGAAGUGGGCAGGCAGACCAAAAGUGCCACAGCUGAUGCCAUCCAGGAGAUGCAGAGACCUGUGCCGUGUGAGCGGGUGUUUUCUACAGCUGGAGAAGUUGUAUCAAAAAAGCUUAACAGACUCAAUUUCAAAGCAUUGGAAAAAAUUAUUUUUAUCAAUAAAAAUUUGUAAAAAAAAUAAUCCCAGUCCACAAGCAUCGUCAUUCACAACACGUUCACAUUAUUUAUUGACUGUAUCUUAAAAUAUCUUUGAUAUUUUACAUUCAAAUGAAGAUAUGAAAUAAUACAAUAUAAAAUACAAUGACUUAAAUUAUAUUAUUGUAUAUAGUAGGUCAUCGAAUCAGUGUCAGUUGAGUCUGCCAACUAGGUUGCCUGUAGGCAUUUUUAAGGUCCAGCAGGUGUCAGUAUUCAGUGACAGAGUGUCAAUACAGUUUGGCAAUGUGUUGAAACGCUUCAUUACGCCUCAUCUAUCCAUCACUACUGUCUAUGUUGAAUACUGAGUAUCAGUAAAGUCUAAUAGUAGAAGUAAUCUGCACUUAAAAAAUGCUAACUGGUGAUAUUCAGUAUUUAUUUGAGUGACAUAAUCCUUUAUCAGUUCCAGAAGAACAAAAAAGAAAAGGGCAUUAUAGAAACAAGAGAAGAUGUAAAAAACAACUUGACUCACAAACAGUGUAGAGAUGAGAAUGUGUGUGUGUGGAAAACAAAGUUCUUGAGCCAAAUGUCAUAGUGUGGUUUAAAAAUGUUCUGUUCAUUUUUCCUUGAGUUCCUCCAGGUAAUUACAAUGUGCUUUAUGUGAACUGUGUAAGGCAGAGUAUUGACAGUAGGUUGUUUAGUGUUUGUAGAAAAUAUAUGUAAGGAAAUCAUAAAGUAUAUUUAUCUAGCUUGUAGAAAAGGAGGAGUUUACAGAGUAAAUGAAUGUUAUGGUUUGUUAGUAAUUUUUGUUAAAUUUAUAUUACAAAAAUAAGUGUUAAUUGUAGAAAUAUAUGUAUUUAAAAGUUGUUUGAAGUGUAUUUCAUAGUUCAAAUUGUAGUGUUAAUGAUAGAGUUUUCAUUUGUGUGGGGGUUUUUUUUAUAUUUUUUUUUAAUUUCGGAAGUUCUCGUAGCACGUCCGUGGUGACACCCCGUUUUCUGCCGUUGUCGUCGUGUGACGUCACAGGUCAUGACCUUGUGGGCGGAGCUCAGAGACGCGGAGAAACACUUGGAAGACAUUUUAAAACCAUUGUUGGUGAACGUUGCCUCGGUUUGUCAGUACUGAGAAAAUUAUUAAUUACCGAUGAAGCGUGGAUGCUAAAACAAAUUUCGAAGCUGCAUUUUUGUCGAGCACGAAUGAGGCUGGACGCUGAAUACAUCUGCGGCGCGAAGGUUUACUGGUUCAGCUGCUGCAGCCUGGACACAAACACCAGCUCCCACGUUACAAACCAAACAGGUCUUCUCCUCCUGCACAGACAACAACACGCAUUGAUCACACAAACUCAUCUACCACAAUCCAUGCCAGGGAUCUACUACUUUGCUUACCAUGUCCACUGCAGAAGAGGUAAUGUGUGGGUGGCAUUGAUGAAGAACAAUGAGCCAGUGACGUACAGUUGAGAUGAGUUCAAAAAGGGCUUGCUGGAUCAGGCUUCAGGGAGCGCUGUACUCCCAUUACGACACAGAGGUGUGUACACUUCAUGUCCACGAUCAGAGAAUCUUUGGACAAUGAAGGAAUUGUUUAGACCAGGACAGAGGUCUACAGGUAAUUCACAAACAGCUUCAUCACCUGUCCAACACAGAGCACUGGCAUUAUAUGUCUUCAGCAACUGCAGACGAUCGUCUUGGUUAUAUCUCUGUCCCCUUCCCCUCUUAAGCAAAUGUAGUUUUAAUUUUAACUUAUGUUGGAGAAACAAACAUUUCCAUCCACUGCUGUUGUGUGAAUAUGAGCAGGUGCUUCUGUGUGGAAAACAAAUUUAACUGAUGAAUCCAGAACAAGAAGAUUUUAGUGUCCUUUAGUUCUAUCUCUAUCUGUACAGUUUGAGUGUUCAAUACUGCAAAAAUGCUUUUAUUUCCAUGUGUUAAAAGUUACAAAGAGACAGACAUGAAGAUGUUUCCAGAAGGUCAGUGUUUAUUCUUUUUAGUCUGAGUCUGUCAUUAUCUGAGUUCCAGUUUGACACAGAAUAGAAACCCUGAAUUGAAGUCCUUUAAAUAUCAAUUGUAAAACCAACACAGAAGAAAUUGCUGUAAAAAAUAAAUAGUAAUAUAAAUUAAGUAUGACAUUUUUUGAAAAUAUAUUUACUGAAUAGGGUGCUAAUUGUGACCGUGCUGUGUCAAGUAGGCAGAGUUUCACUGCCUUCAGUGGACACGCAAACAGAGCUCUUUAUUUUGUCUAGAUUUUGGUGUGACUAACUCUGAAUGGCAGUUAGUGCUUUACAGAGACUUUAAAAGUGAAUGUGUGUAAGAAUUACCUGAUUAUUGUAAUGUUUUGUUUUGGUGCUUAUCAGUAAAAGUUUACAAAUGGUUCUGAAAGCCUCGGGUAGAAUGCUAACCAAGGGUUAUGAGCAAUCUUUUGGUGUUUAACGUUAAAAUUCAUUAGUCUAAGAGAAUAUAGUUGUGUCUAUCUGGCGUCAUAUAGUGUAAUUUAGUCUUCUUCUUCUCGGUUAUUAAUUAUGUUUCGUAAAAUUUCAGGUGUUCAUUUUUCUCUGUUUUGUAACGCUACCAGUUUUGAAAGAAUAGCUUUUGACUUCGACGGUUAUCCAGUAACGCCAGGGAGUCUAGAGCGCUCGGAGAGGCGUUCACAGAACCUGUAAACCAAAGCUGGGGCUCUCGCACUUUUUCUGCCUCAGGGGUAUCCAGGGGGACAAGUUUUGGCAUAGAGACGAGACCGGGUACCUGCUGCCGUCACGGAGAGGUGUCUCCACUUUGUUCACGAUCACAGAAAGUCUUUGUACAAUGGAGAAGUUCUUUGAGAGCAGGAUAGAGGCCUCCAGGUGUCUCCACUUCACGUCCACGAUCAGAGAAUCUUUGAACAAUGAAGGAAUUGUUUAGACCAGGACAGAGGCCUCCAGUUAUCUUACGAUGGAGAAAGAAACAUUUCCAUCCACCGCGUUUGUGUAGAAAACAAAUGUAAGUGAGGAAUCCAGAGCAAGAAGAAUGUAGUGUGUUUUACUUCUAUGUGUUAAAAGUUUCAUCUUUAUGUGAAUGUUUAUUGCAUUUUUCUUCACAAACUUCAACCAUUAAAUCACAGAGAGAAGAGACAGACUUGAUGAUGUUUCCAGAAGGUGUUCACAGAACUUGUAAACCAGAGUUGGGGCUGUUGCACUUUGUCAGGUGCAGUAAAAGAACAGAGAGAAUGACUUUUGUAAAUGAGAGCUGCUGAAAGCAACAGUGCUGCGUUUGGGGGAAUUCAUUUAGAUGGUAAUUUGGUGAUGUGAAAGGAUAAAACUUUUGACAUGUUUCAGUUUACAGUAUUAGAGAAAAAUAUGCAGUUAAAUGUUUAGUUUCAGGAGUGAUGUUGAAUUGGCAGUAGUGUGUUGAUCAUUUGUAUGUUUUGUACAGGUUAUUCACCAACAGCUUUACAUGAAGUGUUCAAGUUAGAGUACUGGCAUUGUUUAUGUUUUGUAUUUAUUGUAUUAAAAGUAAGUGUAUAAGUUUGUUUUCAAAUUACUAAUAUGAAAGUGAAAUUGUAAUGCAGAAAAGUCAAAUUUUGUGUACUUGGCAAAUAAAGUGUGAAGUUAAUAAUAUUUAAGAAAGUA